rnacentral:lncRNA from 1 species
GUGACAACUGUCGACGAUGAUGGCGCCAAGACCGUGGAGGCUAUUGAGGAAUCUGUAGUAGCAGUCUCUGCCCCUCCACCAUCGGAGAAACAGGAGGGGGAGGCUUCUGGUUCCAAAGAAGUAGAGGUAGCUCCUUUACCAGAGGAGCCAAAAGAAGCUGAAGUUCCUCCACCUCCACCCGAAGAGGUGUCUAUAUGGGGAAUUCCGCUUCUUGCUGACGAAAGGAGCGAUGUGAUCCUGUUGAAAUUCUUGAGGGCAAGGGAUUUCAAAGUAAAAGAUGCAUUUAUUAUGAUCAAGAACACUGCUCGCUGGCGAAAGGAGUUUGGAAUUGAAGGCUUGCUUGAUGAGGAUCUUGGAAAUGAAUUGGAGAAAGUGGUUUUUAUGCAUGGGUUCGAUAAGGAAGGUCAUCCUAUUUGCUACAACGUGUAUGGGGAAUUCCGAAAGAAAGAGUUGUAUCAGAAUACUUUUGCCGAUGAGGAAAAACGAUCCAAGUUCUUGAGGUGGAGGAUUCAAUUCUUGGAAAAGAGUAUUAGGAAGCUGGACUUCAGUCCUAGUGGUAUCUGUACCAUGGUUCAGGUCAAUGAUCUCAAGAAUUCUCCUGGACCUACCAAAAAGGAGCUCAGGCAGGCCACCAAUCAGGCACUUAACUUGCUUCAAGAUAACUAUCCUGAGUUUGUAGCUAAACAGGUACACGCAACUUGUCAAAUAUAAAAGAAAAGAAUUUUAAUAUUUUUAUUAUAUGUUAAAAUUUAAAAUAAUUCAAUGGUGGUUUUGGAUUUUGAAGGUGUUCAUCAAUGUUCCAUGGUGGUACUUGGCCUUCAAUAGGAUGAUUAGCCCUUUCCUAACUCAGAGAACCAAGAGCAAGUUUGUGUUUGCAGGUCCAGCCAAAUCUGCUGAGACUCUCUUCAGGUAAGCAGACUCUAAUAAUUUCAGUCCUUUUUUUAUUUGCUUGCCCAUGAAUAAGAAUCUAUAUUUAUUUCUAAUUGAGCACUCAUAGUCAUAGAUCUCUCUAGACAUUAUUUUGUUUUAUAUUAUUGUGCUGUUUGAUCAAAGAUGAAUGAUUCCUUUGAUUCCUUUUUCUAAUCAUAAAUCCCCUCUCUCUAUUAUUUUUC